AUCAUGGCUCAGAUUGAACGCUGGCGGAAUGCUUUACACAUGCAAGUCGAACGGUAGAGGGGGCAACCCUUGAGAGUGGCGAACGGGUGAGUAAUAUAUCGGAACGUGCCCAGUCGUGGGGAUAACGUAGCGAAAGUUACGCUAAUACCGCAUACGAUCUAUGGAUGAAAGCGGGGAUCGCAAGACCUCGCGCGAUUGGAGCGGCCGAUAUCAGAUUAGGUAGUUGGUGAGGUAAAGGCUCACCAAGCCGACGAUCUGUAGCUGGUCUGAGAGGACGACCAGCCACACUGGGACUGAGACACGGCCCAGACUCCUACGGGAGGCAGCAGUGGGGAAUUUUGGACAAUGGGCGCAAGCCUGAUCCAGCAAUGCCGCGUGCAGGAUGAAGGCCUUCGGGUUGUAAACUGCUUUUGUACGGAACGAAACGGUGAGCUCUAAUACAGUUUGCUAAUGACGGUACCGUAAGAAUAAGCACCGGCUAACUACGUG
rnacentral:rRNA from 1 species